rnacentral:rRNA from 1 species
UACAGAGGUGCCAAGCGUUUAGGCGGAAUCACUGGGCUUAAAGCGCGUGUAGGCGGGUCGUUUAAGUGUCCGCGUGAAAUCCCACGGCUCAACCGUGGAACUGCCGGGCAUACUGGCGAUCUUGAGGCAUUCAGGGGCGAGCGGAACAAAUGGUGGAGCGGUGAAAUGCGUAGAUAUCAUUUGGAACGCCAAUGGUGAAAACAGCUCGCUGGGAAUGAUCUGACGCUGAGACGCGAAAGCCAGGGGAGCGAACGGG